AUAGGAACUAUGGAGCGACAGAGUGACAGUGACGGCUGACGGCUUUUCCUUUUGAAAAAUUCGUGACGGACAGAACACUACCAUAUGAGAAAAAUUCUUUUCGAUCGCAACGUGGACGCAAAACAUGUAUCUGUUUGCAAUAACUAACGAGAAGUCGGGCCACAUGAGUGCGGUUGAGGUCGAUCUCUGUGGCAAAUGUCUGUGAUCGCAAAAGAUGCAAACUCCGAGAAAAAUCACGAUCGUUCUGUUCGUGAUUUCAUAGCGCGAUGGGUCGAAUCAGUCAAUCAACCAAAUUUUUGGCAAAACGUGACUUAAAUCUCUUCGCGUGCACGUUAAGAAUACACUCACGAAACAGCACGCGCUAUUAAAAGUAUGACUCUGAGAAGAGCGCGAAAGAAGACGAUAUCUAAAGAAUGUCAUAAAGUACAAGAAGUGUUUUUUAUUCUCUGUAGAUUCAAUGGGGUAGGAGAGAGAGAGAGAGAGAGGAGAGAGAGAGGAGAGGAGAGAGGAGAGUAUCAGCAGGUGUACUGAAGCCAAAUAAGUUUGGUACCACAAACACAAAAUCAUUGGGCUAAAAAGCCUGAAGAAACUCUUCCGCUUUGGAAAAAUGCAGAGAGCGAUGCAGAUUACAAGGGACUGGAUAUAAAUUAUUUUGUAAAUGAGAACAUAUUCGAGUUAACCAUGCAUCCUUAUUUAUACAUAGAAGAUCAUAUAAAGCACAUGGUUGUAUAAAUUGUAA